CAUCGCCGCACGGGACGCUAGUUAACACUACAGUUGGCAGCAGCCCCCUCCCCGCAGACCUUUGAACUUCGCCGAGUCUCACGACACCGAAGAGGACAAACAGUUUCGUAGAGUUUUCCAACAGCUGGCUGGAGAUCCAUUUUCAUAUUAUAGAGGGACUACCAGCAUUUGCAGCAUCCUGAGCCAUUUUGGUAAGGCUACUUGGAACAAUCAGUCCAGAGUAGUUUGAUUGUCCCUGAAAUAAGUUGAAAUAUGUUGGCAAACGGAGAAAACAUACGAAACCUGAUGAGGAACUAAGAGAGGAAACUGCACAUCCGAGGAGAGCUGAAAGACACAUAUAAGAUCAAGAGACAGUACGUGAAGACGAUAGAGUGGAAGGUGACACACCAACUGGACAUGGCUCGUGUACUGGUGCUGUUCAUGUUGCUCUGGAGCUCAGGAUUCCUCCCAGGUUUCCAGACAGAGGGAAAAGAUAUUGAUGAGAUGCGGUUGUUGGGAGGAUCCAGCCGCUGUUCUGGUGUGCUUCAGGUGAAGCGCCAGGGAGAGUGGGCAGAAGUGGAUGACCGUGAAUGGGACCUAAAGUUAGCAGAUGUAGUUUGCAGACACCUGGACUGUGGCUCUGUGGUUCGAGCUUCAUCAAAAAGAGAUUCAAACCCUUCUAGCAGAAUCACACCUUCCUGUCUAGAGUCUGGAUCUAGACUGAAGAAAUGUUUAACUAAAAGGUCCUGGAUUAUUUCUACCAGUUUGGAGAUCAUCUGCUCAGACUCUGUCAGGCUGGAGAAUGGGACUAGUCUGUGUUCAGGCAGACUGGAGGUGAAGUCUACCCAGUCUAACCAGUCGUGGUCCUCAGUGUGUGAAGAUGACUUUGACCUGCAGGAUGCAGAGGUGGUCUGCAGGGAGCUUGGCUGUGGGGCUCCUUCAGUCCUCCAGGGGGUGCUCUAUGGAGACAUGGAGGCUCCAGUGUGGACCAAAGAGUUCCAGUGUAGAGGCCAUGAGUCUGCUCUGCUGGACUGUGACAGCUCAGAUAGAAACACCUGCUCUUCUGGCAAAGCUGUUGGACUCACCUGCUCAGAGCCCAAUAUUUUCCAGUUGGCGAGAGGAGCCAGUCGCUGUGCUGGUCAACUGGAGAUGAAGAAAGAUGGAGAGUGGAGUAAAGUGGAUGUUGACGAUGAUUCUGCCUGGAAUCUAAAGGCAGCAGAUGUAGUGUGUAGACAUCUUGACUGCGGCUCUGCUGUUUCGACAGAGUGGAAACAGAUGAAUUACUACACAUUAAUAUGGAGUAUUAGAUCAACUUGUCUUCAAUCCAAGUCUGCAUUUAGGGAGUGCAUAUUAACAAAGUAUUCCCUUUCCCUUUCCAACCUGGAGAUCAACUGUUCAGAAUCUAUCAGGCUGGUGAAUGGGACUAGUCUGUGUUCAGGCAGACUGGAGGUGAAGUCUAACCAGUCUACCCAGCCGUGGUCCUCAGUGUGUGAAGAUGACUUUGACCUCCAGGAUGCAGAGGUGGUCUGCAGGGAGCUGGGCUGUGGGGCUCCUUCAGUCCUCCAGGGGGCGCUCUAUGGAGACAUGGAGGCUCCAAUGUGGACCAAAGAGUUCCAGUGUAGAGGCCUUGAGUCUGCUCUGCUGGAGUGUGAGAGCUCAGAUAGAAACACCUGCUCUUCUGGCAAAACUGUUGGACUCACCUGCUCAGAGUCCGAUAAUUUCCAGUUGGCGAGAGGAUCCAGUCGCUGUGCCGGUGGACUGGAGAUAAAGAAAGAGGGAAAGUGGAGUAAAGUGGAUGUUAAAGAUUCUGCCUGGAAUCUAAAGGCAGCAGAUGUAGUGUGUAGACAACUUGACUGCGGCUCUGCUUUUUCAACAGGGUGGAAAGAGAUGGAUUUCAACACAGAAAUAUGGUGGAUUAGCUCAAUUUGUCUUCAAUCCAAGUCUGCAGUUAGGGAGUGUAUAUCAACAAAGUCUUACCAUUCCCAUUCCAACCUGGAGAUCAACUGCUCAGACUCUGUCAGGCUGGUGAAUGGGACUAGUCUGUGUUCAGGCAGACUGGAGGUGAAGUCUAACCAGUCUACCCAGUCGUGGUCCUCAGUGUGUGAGGAUGACUUUGACCUGGAGGAUGCAGAGGUGGUCUGCAGGGAGCUUGGCUGUGAAGCUCCUUCAGUCCUCCAGGGGGCGCUCUAUGGAGACAUGGAGGCUCCAGUGUGGACCAAAGAGUUCCAGUGUAGAGGCCAUGAGUCUGCUCUGCUGGACUGUGACAGCUCAGAUAGAAACACCUGCUCUUCUGGCAAAGCUGUUGGACUCACCUGCUCAGAUCCCGAUAAUUUCCAGUUGGCGAGAGGAUCCAGUCCCUGUGCCGGUGGACUGGAGAUAAAGAAAGAGGGAGAGUGGAGUAAAGUGGAUGUUGAUGAUCAUUCUGCGUGGAAUCUAAAGGCAGCAGAUGUAGUGUGUAGACAUCUUGACUGCGGCUCUGCUGUUUCAACAGGGUGGAAAGAGAUGGAUUUCAACACAGAAAUAUCAAUGAUUAGAUCAACUUGUCUUCAAUCCAAGUCUGCAGUUAGGGAGUGUAUAUUAACAAAGUCUUACACUUCCAGUUUCAACCUGGAGAUCAACUGCGCAGAGCCUGAUGUCAGGUUGUCAGGAGGAGCCAGUACCUGUGUUGGUAUACCAGAGAUGAAACACCAGGGACAGUGGAGACCAGUGAUUGAAUGGGAUUCUGAAUGGGUCCAGAAGUUAUCAUCUGCAGUGUGUAAACGGCUGGACUGUGGUUCUGCUGUUUCCACAAACAUCAGCAGCAGCUCUUCAGAAACACGUGUGUGGGAGAUCAGUCAUUCUUGUGUUCAGUCUGAAAGGAUAGUACGGGAGUGUUUAUCGUUAACAAGUUACAGGACAAUCCCCAUCAACCUGGAGGUGGUCUGCUCAGAUUUGCUGGCUCAGCCAAACAUCUCCUUCUCUACCCACAUUGACGGGGUUUCUGAGGCCACGCAGCAGGGGUUGCGAGUGCUCAUGGGCUCCAACUUCACCAUCAGCUGCUCCAUCCUGCCACAGUACCCAGGAGGCUCCUUCCAGCUCAUCUUCAACACCUCCGACCCAGAACAGAAGAACUACACCCUGCCAGCUGUCAAUCACUCAGCCCACUUCCUGUUCUCUGCUGCAGACCCCACCCACCGAGGGGAGUACCGCUGUGUUUAUCACCUCUACGUUUUCUCCCAUAACUUCUCUUCUCAGAGCCGGCCGCUCCAUCUCACUCUCGCAGCCUCUGGAACACAUCUGGUCAUUGGACUCGUUGUCCUGGUGGUGCUGCUGGUGCUCGUGUCCGGUGCUGCCCUGUUUUGCUACUCCAAGGCCAGCAGAGGGCAGACGCCAAGACGAGAGGACAACAUGGAGGUGCAUUACCUCUGUGGUGCUGACGACUUGCUGGGUGAAGAGGCAGGAGGAGCGCAGGGCUCAGAGUAGGAUCUCACAGCCAGACGGACGGCUCCGCUCUCAAACAGCCAAAUCAGAGCAGUUCAGGAUUCCUCCCAGGUUUCCAGACAGAGGAAAAAGAUAUUGAUGAUAUCCGGUUGUUGGGAGGAUCCAGCCGCUGUUCUGGUGUGC